UCAAGGCUUUGCCUUCAGAAGGACCCUAAUUACAAUAUAAUAUAUUACUUGAGAUGCAUAAUGCAUUAACUCAGUAACAGUCAUUUAAGGGAUUACUUGAAGAGUCCUGAGCAGGGGAUGAGAAGAGUACAUGUUUAAGGGCUGAGGGAAGAAACCUGGAAGGUCAAGGACUGGAGUAUAGAUCUUUGGGAGAGAAGAAAUACAGGAGAAUGGCAGUUGGUUAUAUCAGAAGGCUUAGGGAAAUAUGCAUCUCUCUCUUCUUAAGAGUCAACUUCACAGGACAAUUAAGCACUCUUAUCUGAGAAGUGAAGAUAAUUCCACCACCCUCUGGCAUGAGAGGAAG